UUGUCUCAAAGAUUAAGCCAUGCAUGUCUAAGUACAUGCCUAAUUAAGGCGAAACCGCGAAUGGCUCAUUAAAUCAGUUACGGUUCCCUAGAUGUUGACUAUCUACAUGGAUAACUGUGGUAAUUCUAGAGCUAAUACAUGCAUAAAAGUUUCGACCCGUAAGGGAAGAGACGCAUUUAUUAGACCAAGACCAAUGGGGUUACUCUUUUUAGGGUGACUCGAAAUUGAGUGGUGACUCUGGAUAACUAUUGCUAAUCGUAUGGCCUUUAGUGCCGGCGAUGAAUCUUUCAAGUGUCUGCCUUAUCAACUGUCGAUGGUAGGUUAUGCGCCUACCAUGGUUGUAACGGGUAACGGGGAAUUAGGGUUCGAUUCCGGAGAGGGAGCCUUAAAAACGGCUACCACAUCCAAGGAAGGCAGCAGGCACGCAAAUUACCCAAUCCCAGAACGGGGAGGUAGUGACGAAAAAUAACAAUACGAGACUCUUAUGAGGCCUCGUAAUUGGAAUGAGAACAAUUUAAAUCCUUUAACGAGGAUCUAUUGGAGGGCAAGUCUGGUGCCAGCAGCCGCGGUAAUUCCAGCUCCAAUAGCGUAUAUUAAAGUUGUUGUUGUUAAAAAGCUCGUAGUUGGAUCUCAGUUCUAGUUAUAGAUGGUCCACUGUAUUAAGUGGUGGUUACUGUCUGACUGAACAAAAUAUCGAAUAUAAAGUGUUGCCUAUUGUUGUUACUUUAACCGAGUGCAAUAAAUAGGUGCAUGGUCUUAUGGUGCUCUUAACCGAGUGUCAUAAGUGUUCGAUAGGUUUACUUUGAAAAAAUUAGAGUGCUCAAAGCAGGCGUAUAAAUGCCGGAAUAAUGUUGCAUGGAAUAAUGGAAUAGGACCUCGGUUCUAUUUUGUUGGUCUUCGGAAUUAUAGAGGUAAUGAUUAAGAGGGACAGACGGGGGCAUUCGUACUGUAGCGCUAGAGGUGAAAUUCUUGGACCGCUGCAAGACGAACUAAAGCGAAAGCAUUUGCCAAGAAUGUUUUCAUUAAUCAAGAACGAAAGUUAGAGGCUUGAAGGCGAUCAGAUACCGCCCUAAUUCUAACCAUAAACGAUGCCAACCAGUAAUAGGUCUGAGUUCUUUUAAAAUGACUCGACCUGCGACUUCCGGGAAACCAAAGUUUUUCGGUUCAAGGGGAAGUAUGGUUGCAAAGCUGAAACUUAAAGAAAUUGACGGAAGGGCACCACCAGGAGUGGAGCCUGCGGCUUAAUUUGACUCAACACGGGAAAACUCACCCGGCCCGGACACUGGAAGGAUUGACAGAUUGAGAGCUCUUUCUUGAUUCAGUGGGUGGUGGUGCAUGGCCGUUCUUAGUUGGUGGAGUGAUUUGUCUGGUUAAUUCCGAUAACGAACGAGACUCUAGCCUACUAAAUAGAUGGUUGACUGACGAGUAUUAUGCGCAUAUAUAUGCUAUUUGAGGAUAGUAAUAUCUUUAAAUAGUAUGUGUGUGUGUGUGUAACUCAUAAAACGUUAAACCAAAUGCUUCUUAGAGGGACAGGCGGUGAUUCAACCGCACGAAACAGAGCAAUAACAGGUCUGUGAUGCCCUUAGAUGUCCGGGGCCGCACGCGCGCUACACUGAAGUGAUCAGCGUGCAUUAGUUGGCCUACUCUGUCAAGAGUGGGAAACCCAAUGAACCUUCUUCGUGAUUGGGAUAGGGCAUUGUAAUUAUUGCCCUUGAACGAGGAAUUCCCAGUAAGCGCGAGUCAUAAGCUCGCGUUGAUUACGUCCCUGCCCUUUGUACACACCGCCCGUCGCUACUACCGAUUGAAUGUUUUAGUGAGGUCUUCGGACUGGCCGGUGCAGCCAUACUUGUGAUGGCAGCGCUGUGUUUGGAAAGAUGCCCAAACUUGAACAUUUAGAGGAAGUAAAAGUCGUAACAAGGUUUCCGUAGGUGAA
rnacentral:rRNA from 1 species